UCUCAACUAAAAAUCUGUGUUCUUUGAUAGAGUGGUAUAAACUACCUACACAGAAAGGGCCAUGGAAAUUACUGUUUCUUCUGCUGAGUCAGGCGCAAUGCCCUGCACUUUAUAGACUCCAAACACAUAAAUGCUUGUUUAAUGAAUAAGGAAAAAGAUGGAGGAGUGUUUCCGGAGAACCUGUAUGCCAGCACAGCAGCUCUGAUGGUCCAGCUACUCCAGGACACACAUCCAGGAGGGUCAGGCCUUGCAUGCUCUGCCCUCUUCUGCUCUGGAUAAAUGGCUCCAUAAUGGUGGAUGUGGAGGUUGGAGUGUCAAUGACAGUCACUCUCCUGCUGCUCUGGUUUGGGUUGUCUCUAUCCUCUU